AGGGGGCUAGCGUUGCUCGGAAUCACUGGGCGUAAAGCGCACGUAGGCGGAUUGUUAAGUCAGGGGUGAAAUCCUGGAGCUCAACUCCAGAACUGCCUUUGAUACUGGCGAUCUCGAGUCCGGGAGAGGUGAGUGGAACUGCGAGUGUAGAGGUGAAAUUCGUAGAUAUUCGCAAGAACACCAGUGGCGAAGGCGUCUCACUGGCCCGGUACUGACGCUGAGGUGCGAAAGCGUGGGGAGCAAACAGG
rnacentral:rRNA from 1 species